CNAGCCUGAUCUAGCCAUGCCGCGUGUGUGAUGAAGGCCUUAGGGUCGUAAAGCACUUUCGCCAGAGAUGAUAAUGACAGUAUCUGGUAAAGAAACCCCGGCUAACUCCGUGCCAGCAGCCGCGGUAAUACGGAGGGGGUUAGCGUUGUUCGGAAUUACUGGGCGUAAAGCGUACGUAGGCGGAUCAGAAAGUAUGGGGUGAAAUCCCAGGGCUCAACCCUGGAACUGCCUCNUAUACUGCUGGUCUUGAGUUCGAGAGAGGUGAGUGGAAUUCCAAGUGUAGAGGUGAAAUUCGUAGAUAUUCGGAGGAACACCAGUGGCGAAGGCGGCUCACUGGCUCGAUACUGACGCUGAGGUACGAAAGUGUGGGGAGCAAACAGGAUUAGAUACCCUGGUAGUCCACACCGUAAACGAUGAAUGCCAGUCGUCGGGCAGUAUACUGUUCGGUGACACACCUAACGGAUUAAGCAUUCCGCCUGGGGAGUACGGUCSCAAGAUUAAAACUCAAAUGAAU
rnacentral:rRNA from 1 species